rnacentral:lncRNA from 1 species
AUAAGAUAAGAUAAGAUAAGAUAAUUUUAUUUACCAAUCAUGGUGCCCAAAAUUUGAGCUAUACAAUCAAAUGAAUUACAAAAUAAAGCACAGAAAAUGAUUAGAAUGAUUAAAGUACAUUUAAACAAAAAAAAAACCACAUGAAUACACAUUUACACUAAUUAACCUGAUAUAAACCAAGUUAUUGACAAAACAUAGUUGUUAUGGGUGCCACUGUGACCUGGAGAAAUUACAUAAAUCUUUAUAGUUCUAGGUCUAUGGGAGACAACUCCUGAUCAAUUUUAUUUCCUAUAUAUAUAUAUCUAUAUAUAUUUUUUUCUUCUAUUUUUUUUUUUAUUUCAAACAACAAUAUUUUCUAUAAUUUUCUUUCGUUCUUCAAAAAGGGAGUGCAAUAAAUUAGAUAAGUUUGAAGUAACAAACAAAUCUUCAGAUGAAAGAAUCCAAACAAAUUUCAUUUCAUCAGAUAAUCUUGAAAAAUUUUUGAAUUUUGAAUUUAAAUUAGAUAGAUGUUGAGAUCGAGUAUCUUUUAGAACAGGACAUUUUAAAAGAAAAUGUAGUUCGUCUUCAAC